rnacentral:rRNA from 1 species
UACGUAGGGUCCGAGCGUUGUCCGGAAUUACUGGGCGUAAAGAGCUCGUAGGUGGUUUGUCGCGUUGUUCGUGAAAACUCACAGCUCAACUGUGGGCGUGCGGGCGAUACGGGCAGACUGGAGUACUGCAGGGGAGACUGGAAUUCCUGGUGUAGCGGUGAAAUGCGCAGAUAUCAGGAGGAACACCGGUGGCGAAGGCGGGUCUCUGGGCAACAACUGACGCUGGAGGAGCGAAAAGCGUGGGGAGCGAACAGG